CUCAUUUCCUCACCUUUGAAAAUGAAUCAUGCCUUCACAACUGUCCCCCAAAGUCUUAACUCAUUUCAGCAUUAACUCAAAAGUCCACGGUCCA